rnacentral:lncRNA from 10 species
CUGGGAACAGUUUUUACAAUUGGCAACAGACACUGGAACCAUCUUUUGGCAACUAGUAUAAUCAUUUGAAAGCCAAGAAAUAUGUUUAUAUUCUUUCUUAGGUACUGGUCCUCCUUUUUUGCUACUGACAAAUGAAGUUUGUGCUAGACUUUAUUUUAUUUUAUUCUUUGAGACAUGGAAUUGUUCUGUUGCCCAGGCUGGGGAGCAGUGGUACAAUCACGGCUCACUACAUCCUCCGACCUCUCCCGGCCCAAGCAAUCCUCCCCUUCAGCCUCCUGAGUAGCUAGGACCACAGCUGCGUGCCACCAUGCCAGGCUAAUUUUUAAAAUUUUUUGUAGAGAUGGGUGUUCCUAUGUUGCUCAGGCUGGUCGUGAACUCCUGGCCUCAAGUGAUCCUCCUUCCUUGACUUCCCAAAGUACUGGUAUUAGAGGCGUGAACCACCGUGCCUAUCUGACUUUAUUUUUUCUCUAACUGUUCAUUAGGUAGCUUCCCUGAAACUGAUCAUAGCUUUCCAAGGUCGUGGUAAAAAUUUAAAUAGUUUUUCCCUCUCAUUCUUUUUAAGGAAAAUGCCAUAUAUAUUUUUAUGUUUUAAGAGUGAUUGUCUAUAUGCAGAUAAUAUUAAAAUCUACAUGCUACUGAUUUAAUGAUUAUUUGUCGCCUACCCA